UGUGAGUCUCAAGACUCAGAGCUCUGUGGCAUCUCCACCAUGGCCUGGACCACUCUGUUCCUCCCUCUCCUCUCUCUCUGUACAGGUUCCAUGGCCUCCUAUGUACUGACUCAGCCUCCAGCAGCGUCAGUGAAACUAGGAGAGACAGUCAGAAUCACCUGCUCUGGGGAUAAACUAUCAGAAAACUAUGUUUACUGGUUCCAGCAGAAGCCAGGCGGGGCCCCUGUGCAGGUCAUAUAUAAAGAUAGUGAGCGUCCCUCUGGGAUCCCUGACCGGUUCUCUGGCUCCAGCUCAGGAAACGUGGCCACCCUGACCAUCAGCAGAGCCCAAGUUGAGGAUGAGGCUGAUUAUUACUGUAACAGUUGGGAUAGCACUGAUAAAGUUGGCACAGUGACACAGGCAGAUGAGGAAGUGAGACACAAAUCGCUUUCUGUUGUGACAAUGGCAACUCCUCUGACAGUUUAACUUGCAGAGCUGCUG